GAAAGAGUACUCAAGAGGUUCAAGAGGUUGGUCUCGAAAACCAAUAGGUCUUUACGGAUGCGUGGGUUCGAAUCCCAUCUCUUUCG
rnacentral:tRNA from 1 species